rnacentral:rRNA from 1 species
GCUGAAUUUAAGCAUAUAAAUAAGCGGAGGAAAAGAAACUAACCAGGAUUCCCUCAGUAACUGCGAGUGAAGCGGGAACAGCUCAAAUUUGAAAUCUGGGGGUGUAACAGCCCUCCGAAUUGUAGUUUUGUGAGCGGCUCCACGGGCAGGUGCCUCUGGUACAAGUCCCUUGGAACAGGGCACCAGAGAGGGUGACAGUCCCGUACAUGACCAGAGUGCGAAAGACACCUGUCAACACGUGUUGCCGUUUCCACGAGUCGGGUACUUUGGGAGUAGUGCCCAAAAUGGGUGGUACGUUCCACCUAAAGCUAAAUACGGGUGCGAGACCGAUAGCGAACAAGUACUGUGAAGGAAAGAUGCAAAGAACUUUGAAAAGAGAGUCAAACAGUCCUUGAAAUUGU